rnacentral:rRNA from 1 species
AGUGAACGCUGGCGGCAGGCCUAACACAUGCAAGUCGAGCGGCAGCGCGGGGGCAACCCUGGCGGCGAGCGGCGGACGGGUGAGGAAUUCGUCGGAAUCUGCCUCUUUGUGGGGGAUAACGUAGGGAAACUUACGCUAAUACCGCAUACGUCCUACGGGAGAAAGUGGGGGACCGCAAGGCCUCACGCAGAAAGAUGAGCCGACGACCGACUAGCUAGUUGGUGGGGUAAAGGCCCACCAAGGCGACGAUCGGUAGCUGGUCUGAGAGGAUGAUCAGCCACACUGGGACUGAGACACGGCCCAGACUCCUACGGGAGGCAGCAGUGGGGAAUAUUGGACAAUGGACGCAAGCCUGAUCCAGCCAUGCCGCGUGGGUGAAGAAGGCCUUCGGGUGGUAAAGCACUUUUGUCCGGAAAGAAAUCCCUGGAGCUAAUACCUUCGGGGGAUGACGGUACCGGAAGAAUAAGCACCGGCUAACUUCGU